CCUUCUCUCUUCUCUC
rnacentral:sRNA from 1 species